rnacentral:rRNA from 1 species
UGGGGAAUUUUGGACAAUUGGGCGAAAGCCUGAUCCAGCAAUGCCGCGUGUGUGAAGAAGGCCUUCAGGUUGUAAAGCACUUUUGUCCGGAAAGAAAUCCUUGGCUCUAAUACAGUCGGGGGAUGACGGUACCGGAAGAAUAAGCACCGGCUAACUACGUGCCAGCAGCCGCGGUAAUACGUAGGGUGCAAGCGUUAAUCGGAAUUACUGGGCGUAAAGCGUGCGCAGGCGGUUUGCUAAGACCGAUGUGAAAUCCCCGGGCUCAACCUGGGAACUGCAUUGGUGACUGGCAGGCUAGAGUAUGGCAGAGGGGGGUAGAAUUCCACGUGUAGCAGUGAAAUGCGUAGAGAUGUGGAGGAAUACCGAUGGCGAAGGCAGCCCCCUGGGCCAAUACUGACGCUCAUGCACGAAAGCGUGGGGAGCAAACAGGAUUAGAUACCCUGGUAGUCCACGCCCUAAAACGAUGUCAACUAGUUGUUGGGGAUUCAUUUCCUUAGUAACGUAGCUAACGCGUGAAGUUGACCGCCUGGGGAGUACGGUCGCAAGAUUAAAACUUCAAAUGAAUUGAC